AUGCAAGUCGAACGGGAAAUUUGUAUAGAGAGCUUGCUCAAAGUACUUAUUUCUAGUGGCGAACGGGUGAGUAACACGUGGGUAACCUGCCUUUCAGUUGGGGAUAACUAGAGGAAACUUUAGCUAAUACCGAAUAACUGUUAAGACGGCAUCGUCUAAACAUAAAAGGGGCUUUUGCCCCGCUGAUAGAUGGACUCGCGACGCAUUAGGUAGUUGGUGAGAUAACAGCUCACCAAGCCAAGGAUGCGUAGCCGACCUGAGAGGGUGAUCGGCCACAAUGGGACUGAGACACGGCCCAUACUCCUACGGGAGGCAGCAGUAGGGAGUUUUCGGCAAUGGGGGGAACCCUGACCGAGCAACGCCGCGUGAACGAAGAGGGUCUUCGGAUUGUAAAGUUCUGUUGUAGGGGAAUAAAAGUCGGAAGAAGAGAAUGUUUCCGAUUUGAAGGUACCCUGCCAGAAAGCCACGGCUAACUACGUGCCAGCAGCCGCGGUAAUACGUAGGUGGCAAGCGUUAUCCGGAAUUAUUGGGCGUAAAGAGUGAGCAGGCGGCCUNUUAAGUCUGAAGUCAAAUGCAGUGGCUCAACCACUGUCCGCUUUGGAAACUGAGAGGCUAGAGUACGAGAGAGGUAUAUGGAAUUCCAUGUGGAGCGGUGAAAUGCGUAGAUAUAUGGAGGAACACCAGUGGCGAAGGCGAUAUACUGGAUCGAUACUGACGCUCAGUCACGAAAGCGUGGGUAGCAAAUAGGAUUAGAUACCCUAGUAGUCCACGCAGUAAACGAUGAUUACUAGCUGUUUGCGAUACAUUGUAAGCGGCUGAGCGAAAGCGUUAAGUAAUCCACCUGGGGAGUACGUUCGCAAGGAUGAAACUCAAAGGAAUUGACGGGGGCCCGCACAAGCGGAGGAACAUGUGGUUUAAUUCGAUGAUACGCGAGGAACCUUACCCGGGCUUGAAAUGCAUCCGAUGUAUCCGGAAACGGAUAUUCCCUUCGGGGCGGAUGUGUAGGUGCUGCAUGGUUGUCGUCAGCUCGUGCCGUGAGGUGUCGGCUUAAGUGCCAUAACGAGCGCAACCCUUGUCGUCAGUUGCCAUCGGGUCAAGCCGGGGACUCUGACGAGACUGCCAUCGUAAGAUGCGAGGAAGGUGGGGAUGACGUCAAAUCAGCACGGCCCUUAUGUCCGGGGCGACACACGUGUUACAAUGGGCGGUACAACGGGAAGCUACCUGGCGACAGGAUGCUGAUCUUUAAAUCCGCUCACAGUUCGGAUCGGAGUCUGCAACUCGACUCCGUGAAGUCGGAUUCGCUAGUAAUCGCGCAUCAG
rnacentral:rRNA from 1 species